UACGUAGGGAGCAAGCGUUGUCCGGAAUCAUUGGGCGUAAAGCGCGCGUAGGUGGCUUCAUAAGUCCGUUGUGAAAGUCAAAGGCUCAACCUUUGAAAGCCGAUGGAUACUGUGAAGCUAGAGUACGGAAGAGGCGAGUGGAAUUCCUGGUGUAGCGGUGGAAUGCGCAGAUAUCAGGAGGAACACCAAUAGCGAAGGCAGCUCGCUGGGACGUUACUGACACUGAGGCGCGAAAGUGCGGGGAGUCAAACAGG
rnacentral:rRNA from 1 species